GGAGUUUGGUCCGUGUCUCAGUACCAAUGUGGGGGACCUUCCUCUCAGAACCCCUACUGAUCGUUGCCCCGGUGGGCCGUUACCCCGCCGGCAAGCUAAUCAGACGCAUCCCCAUCCCUUACCGAUGAAUCUUUGCUCCUCAUCUGAUGCCAUCAAAGGAGAACAUAGAGUAUUAAUCCGACUUUCGCCGGGCUAUCCUCUAGUAAGGGGAAGGUUGGAUACGCGUUACUCACCCGUGCGCCGGUCGCCAGCGACAAUAGCAAGCUAUCGUCCUGCUGCCCCUCGACUUGCAUGUGUUAAGCCUGUAGCUAGCGUUCAUC
rnacentral:rRNA from 1 species